CGUACGCAACAUACCCGCUACUGGGGGAUAGCCUUCUGAAAAGAGAUUAACACCCCAUAAUAUCAAUGACUGGCAUCAGUUGCUGAUUAAAAAUUUAUUGGUAGCGGAUUGGCGUGCGUCCUAUUAGCUAGUUGGUAUGGGUAAUGGCCUACCAAGGCGACGAUAGGUAGCUGGUGUGAGAGCACGACCAGCCACACGGGCACUGAGACACGGGCCCG
rnacentral:rRNA from 1 species